rnacentral:piRNA from 1 species
UAUUAAGUGAACUUCUAAUCGUGCCUGGCC